CAGUCGCCGCGGGAAUACGGAGGGGGCUAGCGUUGUUCGGAAUUACUGGGCGUAAAGCGCACGUAGGCGGACUGGAAAGUCAGAGGUGAAAUCCCAGGGCUCAACCUUGGAACUGCCUUUGAAACUAUCAGUCUGGAGUUCGAGAGAGGUGAGUGGAAUUCCGAGUGUAGAGGUGAAAUUCGUAGAUAUUCGGAGGAACACCAGUGGCGAAGGCGGCUCACUGGCUCGAUACUGACGCUGAGGUGCGAAAGCGUGGGAAGCAAACAGGAUUAGAUACCCCCGUAGUCCCUGUCUCUUAUAA
rnacentral:rRNA from 1 species